UCCAGAUCCAAGGUGGAUGGGUAUUGAAGAUUUCAAAAUGAAGCUCAUUCAGUUAAAAAGCUCAGAAUUGUGGGCAUCAAAGUUUGGAGAUCUGCGGAAUGCACUUGAAGCUACCAAGAGAGGUCAUGGGGCCUCUAUUCUGACCUGCUGGACGUCCCUGCCAGUGAAAUUUAACUGUUCAAAGCAAAUUAUGUUUGCAAUGCUUUCAGCAUUUGGAUCCACAUACCUGUGUGAACAGGUAU